CCUACGGGUGGCAGCAGUGGGGAAUAUUGGGCAAUGGAGGCAACUCUGACCCAGCAACGCCGCGUGAAUGAUGAAGGUUUUCGGAUUGUAAAGUUCUGUGAUGGGGGAUGAACACAAUGAUGGUACCCUAAUAGCAAGCGACGGCUAACGACGUGCCAGCAGCCGCGGUAAUACGUAGGUGGCAAGCGUCAUCCGGUAUGACUGGGCGUAAAGGGGGCGUAGGUGGUUUAGUAAGUUAGCGGUGUAAUGCCGGGGCUCAACCUCGGCGCUGCCGCCAAAACUUUGAGACUAGAGUGCAGGAGAGGUAAGUGGAAUUCCUGGUGUAGCGGUGGAAUGCGUAGAUAUUAGGAGGAACAUCAGGGGCGAAGGCGAAUUACUGGACGGCAACUGACACUGAGGCACGAAAGCGUGGGGAGCAAACAGGAUUAGAUACCCUGGUAGUC
rnacentral:rRNA from 1 species